CUUCCCAUUCCUAAGGCACAGGUGGCGAACACAAGGCCCUCGGACAGAAUCCAGCCCUCCACCCUGUUUUAUCUGGCUGGGCACCUUGUUUCUACCCAGCGGCAGCGCCAAGCUCUUGCUUAACUAUUAAGGAGUAGUUAUAUUUAUACAGUCUUAAAAUUACAUUCGGAC